rnacentral:rRNA from 1 species
GACGAACGCUGGCGGCGUGCCUAACACAUGCAAGUCGAACGGAAAGGCCCUGCUUUUGUGGGGUGCUCGAGUGGCGAACGGGUGAGUAACACGUGAGUAACCUGCCCUUGACUUUGGGAUAACUUCAGGAAACUGGGGCUAAUACCGGAUAGGAGCCCCUGCUGCAUGGUGGGGGUUGGAAAGUUUCGGCGGUUGGGGAUGGACUCGCGGCUGAUCAGCUUGUUGGUGGGGUAGUGGCUUACCAAGGCUUUGACGGGUAGCCGGCCUGGGAGGGUGACCGGCCACAUUGGGACUGAGAGACGGCCCAGACUCCUACGGGAGGCAGCAGUGGGGAAUAUUGCACAAUGAGCGGGAGCCUGAUGAAGAAGCGCCGCGUGCGGGAUGACGGCCUUCGGGUUGUAAACCGCUUUCGCCUGUGACGAAGCGUGAGUGACGGUAAUGGGUAAAGAAGCACCGGCUAACUACGUG